GGAAGUAGGGGGAGGUCUAGAGCCUUUAAACACUGUGUUCAUAAAAUGACCAAGUUGCUAGGACUGUGGGAGCCACAGAGAAACAUGAGGUUCAAAUCGUCUGACCCUGGGGCAUAUGGACCCAUGGGGCUCACAUUAUGCUUCUAGGCGAGAGUGCAAGGUCAGACCCCACUGGCUCUGGCAGUCGGCACCCAGCUGAUCGAGGAGCUACUCACUGCUACAAGGUCACCAAUCUACCCAGAGAAGCCAGGCAUUUCAACAUCUUCUUUCUGUAGUAAGCGUGUGAGCAUCUGGAACAACGCCAGCCCUGGAGAGUCUCCAGGUCAGCUUUCUCCAUGGCAGCCCCAGGCACUGGCGCCUGCUGGGGGACCCCCGAGGCAGAGGGUAAGUGGAGAUCUGUGAGAU